CCCAAUUUCCAUUUUUCCUUUAUCCUUUUGGCGUGAAUUCCACGCCUACAGCUGCAUCUCUUUCUGUCUUUAUUUUUUAUCUCAUUCUCGACGACAUCGAAAAUAGGGGAAGCUGCCAUCGACUUUUGGCUACACAUCCACCUGUUCCUAGCUUCGUUUGUUCGAGAAGAUGAUUGUAAAAGGUAUUGGUUUGCAUUGUUUUAUUUUUUUGUCAUAAAUAAUGAUUUGGCAUUUUCCAUGGUCUUAGUACUGUUUUACCAUAAUCUUAACUUUAUGAUUCUCGAGCGUUUUCAUUAACCCAAAACAAUUGGAAUAUUUUCAUAUACCUUGUAUAUAUGUGAUUCUCCCUCAUUUUCCAUCCAAGUAGUGAGUUGUUGAUUUUGGGGCUUUAUUUGUGAUCAGUUGGGAGGUUUCAGCUGCGACGGAUUUGAACAUCUUCAUAUACCUCUUACAUAUGAGAUUUUCCCUCAUUUUUCAUCCGAGUAGUCAGUUGUUGAUUUUGGGGCUUUAAUGUAUGAUCAGUGAGGUUUUUUGGUUUUUUUUUUCAGCUGCAAUUACUGUAUAAUAGUACUAAGCCUAUUUAGAAUUUUCAUUUAAGUAUUUCUGUAAUAGAAUUUUGUUAUUAUCUUCGUACGGAAAGCGUUAAAUAUAGUUUUAUAAAUUAUAUUGUUAUUAUGCUUCUUUCAACAAUGUAAUUUUUUUUUUGUUUCAGGAAAAAAAUUGUGGACUAUAUGGAUGACAUUAUUUUGGUGAAUUUCGAUAAUGAGAAUGUUAUGGAUAAUACGAACAUGCUGGGUGAUGAUAUGUUAGUCGAAAAUGGUGCAAUUGUGCCUGAGGUGCAUAUGAAAUUUAAGGAUGAAAAUGAAAUUUCGAGUUUUACAAAAUAUGAGCACACAACAUUGGUUUCCCUGUUAGAAAAAGAAAUUCGAAAAAGGUAUUGAGAUAUAUUACAUUUAUUUGUAAUCGUGAAGAGAAAAGAAUAAAAAAUAUGAGUGGUUUUUUGAAGUUGCAGCAAGAUUCAGAGUAGAUGUAAAGUCAAGAUAACUGGAUGUUUAGAUAUUUGCGGUAUAUGGAGAAUCAACACAGUACACCUUAACCACAAUCAUAAAACAAGCCCUUCGAAGUCCAGGUUAUAUAGAUGUAACUGAGAAUUGAGUGGACGUGUGAAAUGACGACUUGAAGUAAAUGACAGCAGAAAUUUCAUUGCACAAAAGUUAUAUCUCUACAGUUGUUGAAGCGGGUAGAUAUGAGAAUAUGACAUGUAUAGAAAAGGAUUGUCGAAACUAUGUUGAAAAAGUUAGACGUUUAAGACUUGGAGAAGGAGACGCAGCAGUGAUACAAUCAUACUUUUCUAAAAUGCAAGAACGAUGCUCGAGCUUUUACUUUACUAUAGAUUUAAAUGAAGAGUUGCGGUUAAAAAUGUGUUUUGGGCAGAUAAUAGGAGUAGGCAAGCAUAUAAUGAGUUUAAUGAUGUUGUCACCUUCGACAUCACAUACCUCACUAAUAAAUAUGACAUGCCAUUUGCCCCUUUUAUUAGAGUGAAUAAUGAUGGACAAUUGACACUACUUGGAUGUGGUCUGGUAUCGAACGAGGAUACAGAUACGUUUGUGUGACUAUUUUGGAUAUGGAUGCAAUGCAUGCAUGGAUAAGCUCCCCAUGUGAUAAUGAUAGAUCGUAUUCCCCAAUACAAAGCAUAGAUAGUGUCUGUGACACAUAUUGAAGAAGUUUCCAGAAAAGUUUGGAUAUUACGUGGAUAAAGGGUUUAAUGUUUGCUACAUUCAUAGUUUGGUCUAUGAUUGUCAAUUUAUAGAAAAAUUCGAAAACGGAUGGAGAGUGAUCAUCGAAACAUAUAAUUUGUAUGAUAAUUACUGGUUGACGGGUGUAUAUGAGAAUGGGGAAUGUUGGGUACCUUGCUAUUGGAAAACCACAAUUUGGGCAGGGAUAUCAAUAACUCAAUACAGUGAGAGUGUGAAUGCAUUAUUUGAAGGUCAUGUGCAUUUGAAGAUGAUGUUGAAGCAAUUUGUUGAACAAUAUGAACGAGCAUUGAGAAAUAAGGUUGAGAAGAGUUCCAAGCAAAUUUCAAGUCUUACUCGCAAAUGGUACCGUGUGCAAUGAGGUAUGAAAUGGAAAAAGUAAUUUCAGGUAGUUUAUACAAUUUCGAAAUUCAGGGAAAUUUAAGAGGAGUUCAUAUGUAAGCUUUAUUACGAUCUCAUAUCUGCCUCCGAGGGAUGUUCGAGAAAAACUUACGAGGCGCAAGAGGACAUAAUACAUGAACGAGCGUUUUAAGAAAAAACGUUUUUAGUCUCAUUUCAAAGAGAAAAAUAUGAAAUUACCUGCAGUUGUCACUUUUUCAAGUUUCAAGGGAUUAUUUGUCGACGUGUGAUCACAGUAUUGAUCCGUAAUGAUGUGAAAUCAAUACCGAAUAUAUACAUAUUACGAAGAUGGUGACGAGAUGUGAGUAGAAUCCACACGAGGGUCGCAAUAAACUGUGAUAGUUUGGUUAGUACUCAUGGACAGUUGAAGUACGAUAAAAUGUGUCAACAUUUUGUAACACUGGCAAACAUGACUGCGUAUAAAGUCAAAUCUGAUUCUAUAAUUGAUUGGAUCGACACUCAGUGUAAACAAAUGACGAAGUCAAAGUCUGUUUGUGGUAGUAAUGUCAUGUCCUCGAAUAACAAUCAGAUAGCCUCAGAAAGUGGAGCAUCACAAGAUACUGGAAGUGGUAGCAUAUAGGAUCCAAUAUGUGUGAAGAGAAAAUGUGCGCCUAGGAAACUUCGCAAGAAAAGCCUAUUGAAAUCAAGUUUGAACAUAGUAAAGUAAUUCCCAAUUUUUUGUAUCCAAAGGUCGUAAAGUCCUUAUACACAUAAUGUUUAAUAACAUUUUGAUGUUUUAUAGGCAACUUUGAGUUCAACCAAAGGGAAGAGACCUAAGGUUCGCACAAGUAAUAUGAGAGAUGUUGUAACUGUCAUUCGGUUACCACAACAAGCACAUAUGCUAAUACUAUUAUCAUAUCCACUGCUCCUUAUGGUUCAUAGAUGAUUUACUUUCAUCGAAAUUAUAUGAUUUACUGAUAAUGUUAUUUCGUGUAGGGUGGCAACCAAAAUGUUCAAUUCACACAACAUCAACAAUCCAUAUGUAUCGUCUCUCCAUCUUCAGCAAGUGUUAUAUUCAAUAGUCAAGGUAAAGCAACUACAAGAAGAAAAAUGUUUGUCAUUAUUUUUCAACGUUUUUGGGAUUAGAUUAAAAUGGGACUGUAUUUGAGUUUCCAUUGGUUUGGGUGGACAACAUUUGCAUGAAGCUGCUGGCAGUGAAACACAACAGUUAGAAAUGCAUGGUGGUCGAAGAUUUGCAUAAUUUUUCCCAAGUCUAGAACAGAAUGGAAGUCCCAAGACUAAUUAGUCUUAAUUUAGGAUGGAAGUUCGAACAAUGAAGAGUACAGUUCUAAUGCUUCGAGUAGCAUUUUUAGCUAAUGUUGGGUGUGAUUUUGCCUCUCAAUUAGUUGGGUAUGAUUUUUCUUCUACUGUUUGAUGGCUAAAGAAAUCUAGUUUAAGACCAAUGUUGUUAGAGGAUUUUGUUUAGUAUCUUGUUGUGGCUGCACCAAGAAACCAAGUUUUAUUCUUAAUAAAGUUGGAGUUGGCAGCAUAAAUUAUAUAAACAAAGUUUUAUCUUAAUAAAGUUGGAGUUGG
rnacentral:lncRNA from 1 species